UCUGUGCCCAGUCGACUACCCGGCAUCCAUUUGUAACGCAAGCAUGUGCAACUGGAACUCACACGUGGGAGUGUUUCAUUUCAACUUAUUAAGCUUGCAAGCCAAGGCUUGCUCGGCUUUCUGACGGAUCUGUGUAGGUGGGUAACAGAAUGAGCUCAGAGCUGGCGGUUUGAUGCUGUUAAGGUUCCACCUGCCAACGCUGUCUGAGAAUACUGAAGCUUUCCGCAUGAGCAGGAUAGAAAACCUAGUAUGUGUACCAAGUGUGUGUCUGCUGAUCAGAAGGCACUACAUCAGAUCCUCUGGAGUGAUGGAUAGUCAUGAAUCACUAUGUACCAUGGACUGUUGGACAGCUUUUCAUGGGUUACUGAUCCAACCCUUCAAGAAAUGCAUACAUACAUAAGAUAAAUAAAUAAAUGUUAAAAAAAUAUUGGUAAACCACAU
rnacentral:lncRNA from 1 species